CAGAGCACCGACAGGCCACUGUGAAGAAAUACAUGAUUCGACUGUACAAAUAAGGGAUUUAUUGAGAAGAAUAUUUCUCCAAUUUUAACAGACGACGUAAUGUGAAUAUUUGCUACGUGGCGGAACAACUAAAAGCGGGAGGUCACAGGAAGGCAUACGAAAGCUUUUACUGGCCAAGAUAUACUUGGUUGUACGCCUGAAAUAUACGCGUUUUUCUCACGCUGUGAGCCGAGUAUUGAAUACCUGUUUAAGAAGUCGACCACAAUGGCCAAGGGUUUUCUAGUAAUUCUUCGAUGGAGCAGCAUUUUCGCCCUCUGUUCGGCUAGUUCGAAAUCAGGCCCGAAUGAUGGGGAUGGCUUACUGCCCGAUUUCAGGAUAAGCCUUUACGUCAUUGUUGACCGGUCGCUGACCACGCGCUUUCACAGCGAUCACAACAACAUCGAGAAUCACGUUAGGCGU
rnacentral:lncRNA from 1 species